rnacentral:lncRNA from 1 species
UUUAGAAACUCUCUGCAACUACCUCUGGAAGAAUGAGUAACAUCAGGGUCAUAAGAAUACUUCUGACCACCUGCACGUCAGGAAAAUAGCUGCCUCCUUUUUUCUCACCUCUUCUUACUGUUACUGCCUCAAGGUUGGGCUGCAGCUGGAGAUAUGCCUUUGAUCCGAGAUGGAGAGAGCACUUGUGCAGACUGCAAUAGCAACUCCUACACCUCUGAGAAGCUUACACCUGGUGUGGGGACUCCAGCCCAUGAAAAAGCCCAAGUGUAAAUAAUCUUAUUCACAAAGACCACUCCUUACAGUCUUGCAGUCCUGUUCUAGUACAUAGUCCAUGUCUGUGUCAAAUGCAAGCUGCCGCUUUUAACCAUCAAAUCCUGAAUUCAUUUUGACCCUCUUACUUGAGGGACCUUGCCUCUAUGUGACACUGGAACACCUGGGGUCCAGUGAGCUCCUGUCAUGUGAAAGCUUCUCAGGAUAUUAAUUAGGAACAGGACCACCAAGGUUUUCUCAGUGAGAUCCUCAACUCCAGCACCUAAAGGGUAUUUCAUUCCAUUGGUACCUUCACAGCGCAUCACAAUGCUCAUCUGUUCCCCCGGGGUGACAGCAAGAAACAUCACAAUGGAUGCUGUGAUAAUCAGUACUCAUUGCUGUGGGAGGCAGGGACCUGGUUUCCAAAGUUUUAGUGCUAAUUAUGAAGCAUUAUUUGUGGAGUACCAUCAGUGUGCUCAGUGUUGUAAUCAAGCAAUCAAGCCUGAACUGGGGAAGGAUGUUCUCAAGUUGGAAAAAUUAGCUGAAAAGCAGAGUGGGAAUUUGGAGCUACGUAUUCUCGUGUUCGAAAGCUGCAGGCAGAGCUUCCACCAGAGACCAACAAGGAAUCAUUGCAGGGGGCCUCAUUAAGAUCUCGAGUCAGCAAAGCACUUAAGCAUGUGAUGGAGUCAAAAAGAUUUAAGAACUCAGUUAAAGUUAAAUGACAACUCAGGGUCUAAAUCAGAAACAACAUACGUUAUGGUCUAUGUUGCUGGAAUAUUGUCUUUUCUGAAAAUAAAGAUGUGAAGAGGUUAGGCUUUCUAUAAAGU